rnacentral:tRNA from 1 species
AUCGCAUUAGCUCAGUUGGUAGAGCGCAGGACUCUUAAUCCUGCAGUCGUGGGUUCGAGCCCCACAUGCGAUG